CCCCGGCGCCACAAGUGGGGAUCACUUUUAUUGGGCCUAAAGCGUCCGUAGCCGAACACGCAAAUCUUUUGUGAAAUCGCAGUGCUCAACAUUGCGGAUGGCAAAAGACACUACAUGUUUAGAGAUCGGGAGGAGGCAGAGGUAUUCCUUGGGAAGCGGUAAAAUGUGAUAAUCCUUGGAAGACCACCUGUGGCGAAGGCGUCUGCCUAGAACGAGUCUGACGGUGAGGGACGAAAGCUGGGGGAGCAAAACG
rnacentral:rRNA from 1 species